rnacentral:rRNA from 1 species
GACGAACGCUGGCGGCGUGCCUAAUACAUGCAAGUAGAACGCUGAAGGAGGAGCUUGCUUCUCUGGAUGAGUUGCGAACGGGUGAGUAACGCGUAGGUAACCUGCCUGGUAGCGGGGGAUAACUAUUGGAAACGAUAGCUAAUACCGCAUAAUAGCAGUUGUUGCAUGACAACUGUUUGAAAGGUGCAAUUGCACCACUACCAGAUGGACCUGCGUUGUAUUAGCUAGUUGGUGGGGUAACGGCUCACCAAGGCGACGAUACAUAGCCGACCUGAGAGGGUGAUCGGCCACACUGGGACUGAGACACGGCCCAGACUCCUACGGGAGGCAGCAGUAGGGAAUCUUCGGCAAUGGACGGAAGUCUGACCGAGCAACGCCGCGUGAGUGAAGAAGGUUUUCGGAUCGCAAAGCUCUGUUGUAAGAGAAGAACGAGUGUGAGAGUGGAAAGUUCACACUGUGACGGUAUCUUACCAGAAAGGGACGGCUAACUACGUG